GGGCUAAUUAGUUAGAUCUGUAUGGUUUGGUCCAUCUUAUCGGUUUAUACCAAGAAUAUGCCUUGUAAACAACAAAUCGAGAACUUAAUCAUAUGUUUUUGCCACAACAUUAUAAAAUCAAGAUCCAAACAUGCAAACUAAACCAUUAUCCAAAACAAGUUCAUAACUAACAAAUCAUAAACUCGAAUCAAACCAUAUUCCGAAUCGCUUAGGCUUCUGCAGGUGGCUGGGUCACACCAUAUUUGACCAGCAUCUUGCUCAGAUCAUCAGGUGUGCAAACCUGAUACUUAACCUUCCCAGAAGACGACAAAAAGAUUUCAGCCAGUUCAAGCUUUUCAGAAGUAAGACUAGUACUGUCCAUUGUCUUGCUAAGAACCUUAAGCGCCAACUGAACCGCCUCUUCUCGACUAAUAUCAUCCUUAUAAUCCUGUUUCAGCAUUGACUGAGCUGCCUGAUUGUUAGCACCAACAGCUGCCGCCUUCCAGCCGCCAUAGUUUCCACUCGGGUCACUCAUGUAAAGCUGGAACCCGUAGUUUUUGUCCCAACCCGCGAAUAAAAACGAGACACCGAAAGGGCGGAGCCCACCAAACUGUGUGUAUCCUUGUUUGGUGUCGCAAAGGGACUGGACCAGUUGUUCAACCGGCAUGGGCUCUUGGUAAGAGAAGGUGUAGCGUUGGGCUUGAACACGGGCUGUGUUGAUGAGGAUGUUGGCAUCUGACAUUAUGCCGGCUACUGCACAGGCUACGUGAUCGUCGAUUUUGUACAUUUUCUCGGUUGAGGUUGAGGUUUGAAGGAGCUUUGAUGUGACUUUUUUCUCACCGACUAAAACGACACCGUCUUUUGAGAGGAUUCCAAUGGCAGACCCUGCGUUUCCGAUGGCUUCCAUUGCAUAUUCCACCUGGUAGAGACGACCUUCUGGGGAGAAGAUGGUUGUUCGGCUGUCGUACCUUCUCGACAUCUACCUUGAUUGAAUUGGAAAUACGGGCGAGCUGAAUAGGUUUUCGAGCGCAGUGGUGGUGAUCUUAUACUCCGUUCCCACUUUUAUUGUUCCCCAAGCUUUCUUCGUU
rnacentral:lncRNA from 1 species